rnacentral:misc_RNA from 1 species
AAGAUGGCUCUGCCUCCAAAUCCUGAGUUUUGCUUGCCUUAUAAUUACCAUAGCAGCAGCGGCUGGCUCCAUUGCUGGAGUCGUUGGUGAUCUGAAAUCAAUCAAGCCCUUCCAGACCUUUUACUGAAUCAGUAGAUUUGGCUAUCACUCAUCCACAUUGGGACAAAGAUCAAGAAUACAAAUCAAGGAGUAAGCAAAUUAAGGAGAACAACCUGAAGUUGCAGCCUAUUUACGUUUCCUGAUGCAAAUGCAAAUUUAGGAAAAUUUCUUUUUUAAUCUUCAAGAACCUGCAAGUGUAACAUGUGCGCAUAUUCACAUGCAAAUGUUAAAUGUUUCAUAUUCUUAGCGUAAGUUUCACCGUGUAAUAGAGUCCAGUCUUAU